rnacentral:lncRNA from 1 species
CAACCUUCCCGCGUACCGCACCGCCGUCAGCCCGCUCCUCCGUGGCAUCGAGGUCGGCCUCGCCCACGGCUACCUCCUCGUCGGCCCCUUCGCGCUCACCGGCCCGCUCCGCAACACGCCAAUUCACGGCCAGGCGGGAACCCUCGGCGCCAUCGGCCUCGUCUCCAUCCUCAGCGUCUGCCUCACCAUGUACGGCGUCGCCUCCUUCAACGAGGGCGCGCCCUCCACCGCGCCCGCCCUCACGCUCACCGGCCGCAAGAAGGAGGCCGACAAGCUGCAGACCGCCGAAGGCUGGUCCCAGUUCACCGGAGGCUUCUUCUUCGGCGG